rnacentral:rRNA from 1 species
AUUGAACGCUGGCGGCAGGCCUAACACAUGCAAGUCGAACAGUAACAGGAAGAAGCUUGCUUCUUUGCUGACGAGUGGCGGACGGGUGAGUAAUGUCUGGGAAACUGCCUGAUGGAGGGGGAUAACUACUGGAAACGGUAGCUAAUACCGCAUAACGUCGCAAGACCAAAGAGGGGGCCUUCCGGGCCCCUGUCCAUCGGAUGGGCCCGGAUGGGAUUAGCUAGUAGGUGGGGUAACGGCUCACCUAGGCGACGAUCCCUAGCUGGUCUGAGAGGAUGACCAGCCACACUGGAACUGAGACACGGUCCAGACUCCUACGGGAGGCAGCAGUGGGGAAUAUUGCACAAUGGGCGCAAGCCUGAUGCAGCCAUGCCGCGUGUAUGAAGAAGGCCUUCGGGUUGUAAAGUACUUUCAGCGGGGAGGAAGGGAGUAAAGUUAAUACCUUUGCUCAUUGACGUUACCCGCAGAAGAAGCACCGGCUAACUCCGUG